CCCGUCUCCCCGCCGCACGGAUUCCCCUGCUCCCCGGUGAUUUCCAACGUGAAACUCGAGUCGAGGGAAAUUGCACAGCUCACCUAGAGCCAGCUUGACAGCGUAAUUUUUAGGACUCAAGAAUCAGCAUUGAUUUAUUUAAGAUUAAGCCUUGAAAGUCCACUUGGACGUGGCACACCAUGUACACACUUGAACAUGGAAAUCAUCUUCCCUCAAGGAGAUGUCUCUCUUCAGAGAAGUGAUUCCAAGAAGAAGAGACCCCCUACCUGACCAAACUCAGCCAGACAAAUUUAAUCAGUGUUUUUGAGCAAAGAGUAAAGCUGUACAAGGGUGGCCUGAUCAUCCCUUUCUGCUUGCAUCACCACUGAGCAGUCCCCUCCAGGAUGGCCACCUACAAGCAGGUUGUGUCUUGUACCAGGGCACCUGGCUGGGACAGCCAAUGAGAGCUGAAAUCCUGCCAGGCUCCACUCACCAAGCCAGGUUUUUGGGUCCGUGGUUGUGUCUACUCAGACGAUGUGGCUCCUUUCCCAAGUUGUACCAAUGUACCCUGUAUGGGCGAGGGGCAAUUCUGACCAUCCCCAUACCAUAUCCCAGUUCUACCUAGGAUUCCUUACCUCAGAUGGAAUGAAGAUUCUCAUGAACAGAUUAGGUUUGUUGUAAAAGAUGAAAUUUUUGAACCAAAUUGAAAUUAAUUUCAUAGAUAAAGCU